AGGACGAACGCUGGCGGCGUGCUUAACACAUGCAAGUCGAGCGGAAAGGCCCUUCGGGGUACUCGAGCGGCGAACGGGUGAGUAACACGUGAGCAAUCUGCCUUUAGCUCUGGGAUAGCUCCGGGAAAACCGGGAUUAAUACCGGAUAAGACCACUUUAGACAUCUGUUGUGGUGGAAAGAAUUUCGGCUAGAGAUGAGCUCGCGGCCUAUCAGCUUGUUGGUGGGUAACGCCCACCAAGGCGACGACGGGUAGCCGGCCUGAGAGGGCGACCGGCCACACUGGGACUGAGACACGGCCCAGACUCCUACGGGAGGCAGCAGUGGGGAAUAUUGCGCAAUGGGCGAAAGCCUGACGCAGCGACGCCGCGUGGGGGAUGAAGGCCUUCGGUUGUAACCCCUUUCAGCAGGGACGAAGCGAAAGUGACGGUACCUGCAGAAGAAGCGCCGGCUAACUACGUGCCAGCAGCCGC
rnacentral:rRNA from 1 species